UCAGACGAUGCGUCAUGCAUAUCAAUAAGCGGAGGAAAAGAAACUAACAAGGAUUCCCUUAGUAACGGCGAGUGAAGCGGGAAGAGCUCAAAUUUGAAAUCUUCAAGGUUUUACCUUGACGAAUUGUAGUUUAAAGAAGUGUUUUCUGCUGAAGUUUUGGUAAAAGUUCUUUGGAAUAGGACAUCAUAGAGGGUGAGAAUCCCGUAUUUGACCAUUAUUUUCAGCUUUGUGAUACACUUUCAAAGAGUCGGAUUGUUUGGGAAUGCAGUCCAAAAUGGGUGGUAAAUUUCAUCUAAAGCUAAAUAUUGGCGAGAGACCGAUAGCGAACAAGUACCGUGAGGGAAAGAUGAAAAGAACUUUGAAAAGAGAGUUAAACAGUACGUGAAAUUGUCAAAAGGGAAGCGUUUGACACCAGUGUUGUUUUCUCGAAAAUCAAUUAAAAAUGGCUCGAUUUUGUAUUGCUGAGACCUUAAAAGCUCACUGUACAUCUUUCGUGUCUUUUUUAAUGCACUUUUCGUUUAACAAGUCAACAUCAGUUUCUUUUGUUGUAAAAGGGUCAUUGGAAGGUGGCUUUCUUUUCGGAGAAAGUGUUUAUAGCCUUUGGCCUCUGCAAUCGGAGAGACUGAGGUCUGCAGCGUAGACUCUUCGGGGUUAGAUACAUUUGUGCUAAGUUAUAGCUUUUUAUAGACAACUUGUUGACUAUAAUUAGUCUUGUAGCUUACUCGCUUAUGCUAUUUUACCUACGCUUAGGAUGUUGAACUACUGAGACAUAGA
rnacentral:rRNA from 1 species